rfam:Ruminococcus sp. CAG:254 genomic scaffold, scf7
AGAUAUGCGAUGAAGUGAAAGGUUGCCGGCGGUAUGUCGGGUAAUUUUCAUGGAGUAUGUCCGAUUUAAAACCGGGCGA